GUUGUUACGUUCAUAGGAUAGAGGAUUAAAUGCCAUUUAAAAUGAGUGUUUGUACGAGUCGAUAGCGUAAUUAGUUCCGGAGAUAUAGCGAUUUUAGUUUCGCGUCGAUGCGGUGGCUAGUUUCGGAGAUAGGAGGUCGUCCGAAGAGUUUGGUU